rnacentral:rRNA from 1 species
UUAAAUUGAGAGUUUGAUCCUGGCUCAGGACGAACGCUGGCGGCGUGCUUAACACAUGCAAGUCGAACGGGAUUUAGUAAACAGAAGCCUCGGUGGAAGAUUACUAAUGAGAGUGGCGAACGGGUGAGUAACGCGUGAGCAACCUGCCUAUGACAGUGGGAUAGCCUCGGGAAACCGGGAUUAAUACCGCAUAAAAUCGUAGAAACACAU